rnacentral:tRNA from 1 species
UCAGGUAUCGUAAGAUGCAAGAGUUCGAAUUUUUUAGCAACCA